rnacentral:ncRNA from 1 species
AGAUGUUUUUUAUGACUGACAGGCUUCGGGUCUUUCAGGAUAUUGUUUUUGGUGGUGCAUGGCCGUUGGUGGUGCGUGGGUUGACCUGUCUAGCGUUGAUUCAGCUAACGAGCGAGAUUAUCGCCAAUUAUUUACUUUGCCGAAGUCUUCGGUUAAAGUUCUAAUUGGGACUCCCUGCGAUUUUAGCAGGUGGAAGAGGGUAGCAAUAACAGGUCCGUGAUGCCCUUUAGAUGCUCUGGGCUGCACGCGUGCUACAAUGUUAGGAUCAAUAGGACUGCGAGCCUGAGAGGGUGCGCUACUCUUAUAAUCCCUAACGUAGUUGGGAUUGACGUUUGUAAUCAGCGUCAUGAACCAGGAAUCCCUUGUAAAUGUGUGUCAACAACGCACGUUGAAUACGUCCCUGCCCUUUGUACACACCGCCCGUCGCUCCUACCGAUUGGAUGACUCGGUGAAAUCACCGGAUGCUUACGAGCAGAAAGUGAUUAAAUCACGUUAUCUAGAGGAAGGAGAAGUCGUAACAAGGUAACGGUAGGUGAACCUGCCGUUGGAUCAGUU